rnacentral:rRNA from 1 species
UACAGAGGGGGCAAGCGUUGUUCGGAAUUACUGGGCGUAAAGGGCGCGUAGGCGGCCUUCUAAGUCGAACGUGAAAUCCCCGGGCUCAACCCGGGAACUGCGUCCGAUACUGGAAGGCUUGAAUCCGGGAGAGGGAUGCGGAAUUCCAGGUGUAGCGGUGAAAUGCGUAGAUAUCAGGAGGAACACCGGUGGCGAAGGCGCCACUCUGGGCCGGAACUGACGCUGAGGAGCGAAAGCGUGGGGAGCAAACAGG